CACGUAGGGUGCGAGCGUUGUCCGGAAUUAUUGGGCGUAAAGAGCUCGUAGGCGGUGUGUCGCGUCGGCCGUGAAAACUUGCAGCUUAACUGUGGGCGUGCGGUCGAUACGGGCAUCACUGGAGUUCGGCAGGGGAGACUGGAAUUCCUGGUGUAGCGGUGAAAUGCGCAGAUAUCAGGAAGAACACCAAUGGCGAAGGCAGCUCUCUGGGACGGUACUGACGCUGAGACGCGAAAGCGUGGGGAGCGAACAGG
rnacentral:rRNA from 1 species